rnacentral:rRNA from 1 species
AACGCGAAGAACCUUACCAAGGUUUGACAUACACCGGAAGCAUCAGAGAUGGUGCCCCCCUUGUGGUCGGUGUACAGGUGGUGCAUGGCUGUCGUCAGCUCGUGUCGUGAGAUGUUGGGUUAAGUCCCGCAACGAGCGCAACCCUUGUUCUGUGUUGCCAGCAUGCCCUUCGGGGUGAUGGGGACUCACAGGAGACCGCCGGGGUCAACUCGGAGGAAGGUGGGGACGACGUCAAGUCAUCAUGCCCCUUAUGUCUUGGGCUGCACACGUGCUACAAUGGCCGGUACAAUGAGCUGCGAUACCGCAAGGUGGAGCGAAUCUCAAAAAGCCGGUCUCAGUUCGGAUUGGGGUCUGCAACUCGACCCCAUGAAGUCGGAGUUGCUAGUAAUCGCAGAUCAGCAUUGCUGCGGUGAAUACGUUCCCGGGCCUUGUACACACCG